CUCAUGAGCGAGCCAAGCCGCGCUCAGCAACUCGACGCAACCUGAGAUACCCGGCGGCGGCGGCGGCGGCGGCGGCGGCGGCUCUGAAUCCCAGGAAAAAUUAGCAGCACCUGAGUCCAACUGAAGUAUACUGGCGGCAAGGCGAGGACAGAUGGCUUCUGCGGCGCUGCGCGCGUCCGCCUUCCGCCG